rnacentral:rRNA from 1 species
CGCUGGCGGCGUGCUUAACACAUGCAAGUCGAACGAAAAGAGGGAAAGAGCUUGCUCUUUCCGGAAUUGAGUGGCAAACGGGUGAGUAACACGUAAACAACCUGCCUUCAGGAUGGGGACAACAGACGGAAACGACUGCUAAUACCGAAUAAGUUCCAAGAGCCGCAUGGCCCAUGGAAGAAAAGGUGGCCUCUACCUGUAAGCUAUCGCCUGAAGAGGGGUUUGCGUCUGAUUAGCUGGUUGGAGGGGUAACGGCCCACCAAGGCGACGAUCAGUAGCCGGUCUGAGAGGAUGAACGGCCACACUGGAACUGAGACACGGUCCAGACUCCUACGGGAGGCAGCAGUGGGGAAUCUUCCGCAAUGGGCGAAAGCCUGACGGAGCAACGCCGCGUGAGUGAUGACGGCCUUCGGGUUGUAAAACUCUGUGAUCCGGGACGAAAAGGCAGAGUGCGAAGAACAAACUGCAUUGACGGUACCGGAAAAGCAAGCCACGGCUAACUACGUG